rnacentral:rRNA from 1 species
UACGAAGGGGGCGAGCGUUGUUCGGAAUUAUUGGGCGUAAAGCGCGCGUAGGCGGUCGGAUAAGUCUUGUGUGAAAUCUUCGGGCUCAACUCGAAGUCUGCACAGGAAACUAUCUGGCUUGAGUGUGGGAGAGGUGAGUGGAAUUCCUGGUGUAGCGGUGAAAUGCGUAGAUAUCAGGAGGAACACCUGUGGCGAAAGCGGCUCACUGGACCACAACUGACGCUGAGGAGCGAAAGCUAGGGGAGCAAACAGG